GCAUUAUCGUCAAGAAAGAGGGUUGAAGCCUAUGUGGCUAAGGUACAGCAGGAACUGGAGGAAAAAAUCACUAAAGAACUUGAAGAGGCCACUGCUGAACUUGAAACUGGAUCUGCUGGAGCUUCUCCCAUGGUAUCUGCUGAUGGAUCUUCAGGAAAUGUCCAUGUUGACCAGGAUCCCCUUUGAAGGGCAAUACAGGAGUACCGUGAUGUUUUAGCCAAAAAUCAUCUGAUUUGAACAAAAUGCUAGGCAAAGGCUCGGGAAAUAAUUUUGUUUACAUCGCGCAUCUGUGGUUUCCCAUCCUUCAGAUUGUUCAGAUGUGAAAACGUGGGGUUUUUUUAUUAUCUGAAUAUAAAUGCUAAGUCUAUUAAAUGGAUGUCAAGCACGUUGCACUUACCUGAUGGUUUAUUGAUGCACAGUUGUUUUAUUUUGCACUCACACUAAGAACCAUAUCUAUUUUUUCUGACUGGCAGAUUGACUACUCUUGACUCUUGAGCUUGACAGAACUGUCAAAAUGUUUCUUAUUAAGGUAGAUGCAUUAUUUUGCUCCACUCAUGUUCUGUGUUUUAACAAAAGCAUUCCCUUUGUUCUGUUUAAUCCUUCACUCUAUGUGUUUUUAAUGUUUCCAGUGUUAUUUUAAUGCUU